GGACUUGCCGCUGCCUGUCUGCCUGGGACAGGCUGGCAUUUAGCUGCUAAAGUCAUAGUUUUGAAGACAACACAUGGCACACCCACACAGGAAAUGAAGGCCUUUGACAAGGUGCCUACACAAGACUGCUUAACAAGACUAGAGCACACAGUAUUACAGGAAAGAUACUAGCAUGGAGAGAAGAUUGGCGAUUGGCAGGAAGCAAAGAGUUGGAAUAAAGGGGACCUGUUUCGACUGGCUGUCGGUCAAGUGGUCGCAAGGUUCCCAAGGAACACAAUAGAACCCAAGAAAAAUUACACACAACAAAGAGCAAUAAACUCCAAUGUGCAAAAGAGGACAGAUCCUGCAAACGGUAAACAGUAAACAAAUGAUACAUAGAACGUGAGCUGCAGAGUCUCGAAAGUGAACCUACAGGCUUGGUCAGUUCAGCGCUGAGGUGAGUGAAACUGGUCCAGGAGUCCAAUGACCGCAGGGCAACAACUCUGCCUGAACAUGGCCGCGUGGGAGCCAAUCUUCCUGCUCAAAAGGUAGUAGCGAGAAAAGGUGAAAUCGGGUCAAAUGCAGACAGACAGGACAGACUCAGGUGGGGAAUCUUGGCUGGCAGGGAGAAAAACAAUGGUUCAUUUUCUGCUCUGCUUUGAUCUGGCUUCACGUUUUAAUCAGUGUGGAGCAAUGGACUGAGCACAGGUACAUUUUCUGAUGUCAGGCCUUGAUGCAGCCUCUGUUCCCACAAAUGCCAUACUUGCAUUUGUGAGUCAAGUUUGCCAUAUCCUUCAGAUUGUU